GACGAACGCCGGCGGCGUGCUUAACACAUGCAAGUCGAACGGAAAGGCCCUGCUUUUGUGCGGUGCUCGAGUGGCGAACGGGUGAGUAACACGUGAGUAACCUGCCCUUGUCUUUGGGAUAACUUCAGGAAACUGGGGCUAAUACCGGAUAGGAGCUCCUGCUCCAUGGUGGGGGUUGGAACGUUUCGGCGGUUGGGGAUGGAUGGGCGGCUUAUCAGCUUGUUGGUGGGGUAGUGGCUUACCAAGGCUUUGACGGGUAGCCGGCCUGAGAGGGUGGACGGCCACAAUGGUACUGAGAGACGGAGCAGACUGCUACAGGAGGCAGCAGUGGGGAAUAUGGCACAAUGGGCGGAAGCCUGAUGCAGAGGCGCCGCGUGCGUGAUGACGGCCUUCGGGUUGUAAACCGCAGUCGCCUGUGACGAAGCGGGAGUGACGGUAAUGGGUAAAGAAGCACCGGCUAACUACGUG
rnacentral:rRNA from 1 species